AGCGAUAUAUAACGGACUAAAGCGGAUAAUAUCUACUAACAGUAAGUUUGGGCUGUUACAAGUAGGAGGUUGUCAUAUUCUAAAAUAGGGUCCAUAAGGUGUGAGCCUAUGUUUUGCGCUUGGAUAAAAGAAACAUGCUGCUGAUACUCUCUUCCCAUUGCUCCUUGCCAACACCCUAUGCUCUACACUCUUGAUCUUGUCAUUGGUGAUUAGCUGCAUGAUAGAUAGAAGGCAUGCGCACCUGUAGAAGGUCGCCGAUGUUGGCGAGUAGUGCUCCGGGGAGAGGAGGAACAUGGAGCCAUUGGUUUUGAUGGAGGACUUGGAGGCCACCAGUGUUGUCUUGGAGGAGAAUUGUCAAAGCAGAAGGGUCUGAGUGUUUGGUGGUGCCCAAUGUGAGCUCUGGUUGAGGACAGGGUGGGUAAUAGUGACACACAAGAGUUUCAGAUUUCAUGCAUUCUAAUCCUGCAAGAUUGAGAAUUUAUUGAAAGAUGAUGGACUAGUUUGAGAAAGAAACUGCAACCGUCCAAGACCCCACUAGCAAAUAUUGUCCACUUUGGCUUGUUAUGAUCCGUGUCAGUAUCACGGUUUUAAAACGUGUUUAUUAGGGAGAGGUUUCCACACCUUUAUAAGGAAUACAAUCUACCCUCUUAGAGGCCUUGCUGGCACACUGCCUGAUGACUGACUCUGAUAACAUUUUUAACAGCUUAAGCUCACCCCUAGUAAAUAUUGA